GAAAUGCGAUAAGUAAUGUGAAUUGCAGAAUUCAGUGAAUCAUCGAAUCUUUGAACGCACAUUGCGCCCGCCAGUAUUCUGGCGGGCAUGCCUGUUCGAGCGUCAUUACAACCCUCAGGCCCCCGGGCCUGGCGUUGGGGAUCGGCGGAAGCCCCCUGCGGGCACAACGCCGUCCCCCAAAUACAGUGGCGGUCCCGCAGCAGCUUCCAUUGCGUAGUAGCUAACACCUCGCAACUGGAGAGCGGCGCGGCCACGCCGUAAAACACCCAACUUCUGAAUGUUGACCUCGAAUCAGGUAGGAAUACCCGCUGAACUUAAGC
rnacentral:misc_RNA from 1 species